CUGGCAAGCAAGCUUAAACCGUUAGGUGUAGGCGCAGUGAAAGCGAGGCUGAAUAGGCCGUCAAGUUUGUCGGAUUAGACCCGAAACCAGUCGAUCUAGCCAUGACCAGGCUGAAGGUGGGGUAACACCCUCUGGAGGGCCGAACCGGUGUCCGUUGAAAAGGCCUCGGAUGAGUUGUGGCUAGGGGUGAAAGGCUAAUCAAGGCUGGAGAUAGCUGGUUUUCCGCGAAAGAUAUUUAGGUAUCGCGUUGCAUGAAUACUCCAGGAGGUAGAGCACUGGAUAGGCUAGGGGUUCGUAUAGGAUUACCAAACCUAACCAAACUCCGAAUACCUGGAAGUAAUGUGCAGCAGUCACACGGUGGGUGCUAACGUCCAUCGUGAAGAGGGAAACAACCCUGACCUACAGCUAAGGUCCCCAAAUCGUGGCUAAGUUAGGAAGGAUGUGAGGAUCCCAAAACAACCAGGAGGUUGGCUUAGAAGCAGCCAUCCUUUAAAGAAAGCGUAACAGCUCACUGGUCUAAUUAAGGGUCUUUGCGCCGAAAAUGUAUCGGGAAUUAAGCCAUGUACCGAAGCUUAGGGUGUGUACGCAAGUAUACGCGGUAGCGGAACGUUCCGUAAGCCUGUGAAGGAGGACCCGUGAGGGCCUCUGGAGGUAUCGGAAGAGCGAAUGCUGACAUGAGUAACGAGAGGAGUGUGAGAAACACUCCCGCCGAAAGUCCAAGGGUUCCUGCGUAAAGCUAAUCUGCGCAGGGUGAGCCGGCUCCUAAGGCGAGGGCGAAAGCCGUAGUCGAUGGGAACCACGUUAAUAUUCGUGGGCCAGCAGGUGGUGACGAAUUCAAGAAGCUGUCUGAAGUUAUCGGAUUCAGAAGGCAGUCAAUGAGUUCCAGGAAAUAGCCCCUGCAUCAGACCGUACCCGAAACCGACACAGGUGGACAGGUAGAGUAUACCAAGGCGCUUGAGAGAACGAUGCUGAAGGAACUCGGCAAAUUACCCUCGUAACUUCGGGAGAAGAGGGCCCCGUCCAUGGGCAACCAUAGGCGGGGGGCACAGGCUAGGGGGUGGCGACUGUUUAACAAAAACACAGGGCUCUGCGAAAUCCUAAGAUGACGUAUAGGGCCUGACGCCUGCCCGGUGCCGGAAGGU
rnacentral:rRNA from 1 species